ACGAAUGUAAAAUGUUGUCGAAAAUUGC
rnacentral:sRNA from 1 species